GUGCCAGCAGCCGCGGUAAGACGUAGGGGGCGAGCGGGGGAAGCACUGACUGGGCGUAAAGGGCAUGCAGGCGGUGCGCCAAGUCGGGGGUGUAAAGUUACGGCUCAACCGUGACCUUGCAAUCGAAACUGGCGCACUGGAGUGCGGGAGAGGGAAGUGGAAUUCCCGGUGUAGCGGUGAAAUGCGUAGAUAUCGGGAGGAACGCCAGUGGCGAAGGCGGCUUCCUGGCCCGCGACUGACGCUCAUGUGCGAAAGCCAGGGGAGCGAACCGGAUUAGAUACCCGGGUAGUCCUGGCCGUAAACGAUGGGUGCUAGGUGUAGGCGCGUCAAGCGUCUGUGCCGAAGUUAACGCGAUAAGCACCUCGCCUGGGGAGUACGGUCGCAAGGCUGAAACUUAAAGGAAUUGGCGG
rnacentral:rRNA from 1 species